CACACCACUGACAAGGGCAGUUCUGGAUGGAGUUUCAAGGAGGAAGUGUCAGACCAAAUGACUGAAAUUUUAUAAACCUAAACCCUGGUCUAUAUUUAACUACUCUUCCCUGAUUAUUUAUUCUCCUCUACUGCAGUGGUCUGGACUCCUGAGAAGCAUGUUUUCACAACUGGCUGGAAAUGAGAGAUUAGACGUCCGGCGCCCACGAUGCCUGCCUCCACAGGCUUCAUGCUUUUGUGGCUCCAGCUUCACUUCCUGCUCACAAAGCCUUUCUGUCAGUCCCACAGAUGGAAAGGCACUGAGUGGAGCCCACACUCAGGAAGAGAAGAGUAGUGUCUUCCAACCUGAUAACAGCCAAUUCUCCCACCUUCUUCAUUAAAAAUGCCUCUGGAAGAGGCAGGAGUAUGGCACAGGAGCUGGGAAUUUUAUAAGUCAAUUCUCUUGAAUAACCUCCAGAGAGAAGUUACAGAUUUUCUCCAUUCCUUAAAUGUACCCCAAUGAUUAUUAAUAAACAUUGAUAAGAAACCUGCAGCCUUCCACAAAAAAGUCUAUGAAAGCCUAUGUAUUUAUUAGACAUUAUUUUAUUUACUUUGUAGUUUAGGUCAAUAAGGUCAGCUUAACUUCAGAAAUAACGCCAACUCUUGCCAAGCUGUAAGAAAACUUUUUCUGGGCCACUGCAAAUGAGAAAGCUGGCUUGUCUUCACCAGAUUGAGCUGGUUAGAUUCUGGUAUGCUUGCACUAAGCCGAGUCUUCUGUUGCCUUGAUCCUUAGAAUGGAUCACAUAUUGGAUCCAUAAAUGGAUUCAAUCAGCUAUUACUGCUAGCAAACCAUUCUCCAUGUUUCUCCCAGUAAGAAUAUGUUUGCUACUCCAUAUUUUAAAAUCUGGUAGUAUUGGGGGAAGGGUGAUGGCAGAAAUGAAAUAGCUCAGUUUUGUUUGAGAGUCUGAGUUAGGAGUUUCAUUCAUUAGCUCAAUGAAAAUAAAAUAUGGUCUCAGUCCAUUAACUGCCUAUGUAAAUAUGAUGGUGGAAAGCAUAUAUUGUAUGUAUUUUAAUAAAUGUUUGCUUUUUAUUUAUAUAAACCUUAGCCUUGGAAAGCAGCCUUGAGGAGCAGUAAACAUGAAUUUCGGGGUGCUACUAAAGCAGUGGGGACCAGCAUCCUCAGCAUGUUCCCAAUUCCUGGGUAAUAUUUCAGGUGGCAGCUCUCGUAGUUCUCAGAUGAUCAGGAUAUGAGUAACUAUAGAUUCUUAUCCUCAUAUGAACUUAAGAAAAACCAUUUUUAGGCUUUAUCCACAGUCCAGAUGGUCAAUACUUUAUUCUAUAUGACCCUGACUAUAAAAUCCAGGGACUGGUGUUG
rnacentral:lncRNA from 9 species